UAGGUUAACUUCCACACCUGUCGAGGGAAGC
rnacentral:piRNA from 1 species